CAGCCGCCGCGGGAAUACGUAGGUGGCAAGCGUUGUUCGGAAUUAUUGGGCGUGAAGGGUGCGUAGGCGGUUUGACAAGCCAUCUGUGAAAUCUAUGGGCUCAACCCAUAGUCUGCAGGCGAAACUGUCGGGCUUGAGUAUGGGAGAGGUGAGUGGAAUUUCCGGUGUAGCGGUGAAAUGCGUAGAUAUCGGAAGGAACACCUGUGGCGAAAGCGGCUCACUGGACCAUAACUGACGCUGAGGCACGAAAGCUAGGGGAGCAAACAGGAUUAGAUACCCCGGUAGUCCCUGUCUCUUAUAC
rnacentral:rRNA from 1 species